UGGAAUCAUUUCGUACUAUCUUUACGAAAGAUUAAUGGGACGGAAAAAAACGUCUGGAAAGCUGUGAGCUACAG
ensembl:ncRNA C16E9.19 ncRNA